rnacentral:lncRNA from 1 species
GAAUAUAAUUUUUUUGUAUUAUAGUUGAGUUUGUUGAGUUAUAUUAGGAGUCUAUUAUGUUAAUUGAUUCACUUUCUAUCUAAAACUGUGUAAUCCCCAAUUUCACGCCGUGAAUACAGUCGAAUACAAUAACAUGUCCAGCUGUAAUCCCAUGUUUUACGCCUUGAAUACAGUCGAAUAUACUCGAAUAUAACAACUGAUUA